rnacentral:rRNA from 1 species
ACUCCUACGGGAGGCAGCAGUGGGGAAUAUUGCACAAUGGGCGCAAGCCUGAUGCAGCCAUGCCGCGUGUGUGAAGAAGGCCUUAGGGUUGUAAAGCACUUUCAGUAAGGAGGAAAGGUUAGUAGUUAAUACCUGCUAGCUGUGAUGUUACUUACAGAAGAAGCACCGGCUAACUCCGUGCCAGCAGCCGCGGUAAUACGGAGGGUGCGAGCGUUAAUCGGAAUUACUGGGCGUAAAGCGUACGCAGGCGGUUUGUUAAGCUAGAUGUGAAAGCCCCGGGCUCAACCUGGGAACUGCAUUUCGAACUGGCAAACUAGAGUAUGAUAGAGGGUGGUAGAAUUUCAGGUGUAGCGGUGAAAUGCGUAGAGAUCUGAAGGAAUACCGAUGGCGAAGGCAGCCACCUGGGUCAAUACUGACGCUCAUGUACGAAAGCGUGGGGAGCAAACGGGAUUAGAUACCCUGGUAGGAUAGCGU